rnacentral:rRNA from 1 species
UACGUAGGGGGGCAAGCGUUGUCCGGAAUCAUUGGGCGUAAAGGGCGUGUAGGCGGUCCGCUAAGUCUGAUGUGAAAGCCCCGGGGGCUCACCCCCGGAAGUGCAUUGGAAACUGGCGGACUCGAGUCCGGCGAGAGGAGAGUGGAAUUCCUGGUGGUAGCGGUGAAAUGCGUAGAUAUCAGGAGGAACACCGGUGGGCGGAAGGCGGCUCGUCUG